rnacentral:rRNA from 1 species
CAGGCCUAACACAUGCAAGUCGAGCGGACUUAUCCUUUGGGAUAGGUUAGCGGCGGACGGGUGAGUAACACGUAGGCAACCUGCCUGUAAGAUCGGGAUAACUACCGGAAACGGUAGCUAAGACCGGAUAGCUGGUUUCUCCGCAUGGGGGAAUCAUGAAACAUGGGGCAACCUAUGGCUUACGGAUGGGCCUGCGGCGCAUUAGCUAGUUGGUGGGGUAAUGGCCCACCAAGGCGACGAUGCGUAGCCGACCUGAGAGGGUGAUCGGCCACACUGGGACUGAGACACGGCCCAGACUCCUACGGGAGGCAGCAGUAGGGAAUCUUCCGCAAUGGGCGCAAGCCUGACGGAGCAACGCCGCGUGAGUGAUGAAGGUUUUCGGAUCGUAAAGCUCUGUUGCCAGGGAAGAACGCCUCGGAGAGUAACUGCUCUGAGGGUGACGGUACUUGAGAAGAAAGCCCCGGCUAACUACGUGCCAGCAGCCGCGGUAAUACGUAGGGGGCAAGCGUUGUCCGGAAUUAUUGGGCGUAAAGCGCGCGCAGGCGGUCUUUUAAGUUUGGUGUUUAAGCCCGGGGCUCAACCCCGGUUCGCACUGAAAACUGGGAGACUUGAGUGCAGGAGAGGAAAGCGGAAUUCCACGUGUAGCGGUGAAAUGCGUAGAGAUGUGGAGGAACACCAGUGGCGAAGGCGGCUUUCUGGACUGUAACUGACGCUGAGGCGCGAAAGCGUGGGGAGCAAACAGGAUUAGAU